rnacentral:rRNA from 1 species
GACGGAGGGUGCGAGCGUUAAUCGGAAUUACUGGGCGUAAAGCGCAUGUAGGCGGCCGAGCAAGUCAGGUGUGAAAUCCUCGGGCUUAACCUGGGAAGUGCACUUGAUACUGUCCGGCUAGAGUACAGCAGAGGUUAGCGGAAUUCCCGGUGUAGUGGUGAAAUGCGUAGAUAUCGGGAGGAACACCAGAGGCGAAGGCGGCUAACUGGGCUUGUACUGACGCUGAGGCGCGAAGGCUAGGGGAGCAAACAGG